GUUGCUAGUUGCUUCCAUGUGAUAACAUGGAUUCUUGUUAUAUCACCGUAUAAUUUCUAAUUAAUAUAAUGCACCUAUAUACUUGGUAAGAGGUGGAAGGCUCGGCUUUUCUAGCCUGCUGUUUUGUUCCACCUUUUCCCCCUUAGUUUCGGCUACCGGUGUUAUAUUCCAUAAUAGGGCGCUCCUAACACGAUCGGGGUUGUUAUGGAGACCCCCUUGAUAAUUCGUUUUAGAUUAAUACUUGUCUGGCAAGGCCCAACUUUGGUACUACAUUUUCCUAAUAACCUAAUGAAAAUGCAUAGGGACUUUCCAGACGCCGUGGAUAAUUAAUCAAUCCCCUGGACAGUGCUCAGCCAACCCGACGUCUUGCCCAUCCGGUCAUGCCCUGAGAACGAGAUACACGGCUCCUAUCGGGACUGUCGGAAUGCCAGGUGGCCUUGGUGGAUUAGUUUUACCUUUUAUGAAUAUCUUGUGCAUUGGGAUUCCGAUGACGCUUUGGGUUCUCUCAGAGUUGACGUUUUCCACUAAGGAAUCCGACGAAGUCACGAGUUUCAUGAUCGAGGCUUUCUAUGAGGCUUGUGAUAAUUUGUGAUGAACUAGUUGGAGCACCCCUGUAGGGUUAAAUCUUUCGGAAAGCUCUGCCUCGGUUAUGUGGCAACGUGGAAACUUUGUUUAACAUCCGGUUCUAGAUGACCUGAAGUAACUUAAUUAAAACUUGCCAACUGAGUGCGUAACCGUGACUGUCUCUUUCAUGAGCUCCUUCUCCGGUCGAGGACACGGUGGGGUUAUGUUAGACGUAAGUAGGUGUUGAGGAUCAUUCACUUGAUCAUAAUUAGUUCACAUCCGAUAUGCGUAGAUCAUCCCCCCUCUAUUAUUCUUGUACUC
rnacentral:lncRNA from 1 species